rnacentral:rRNA from 1 species
UACAGAGGUCUCAAGCGUUGUUCGGAAUUACUGGGCGUAAAGGGUGCGUAGGUGGCGUGGAAAGUCAGAUGUGAAAUCCGGAGGCUCAACCUCCGAAUAGCAUCCGAUACUCCCAUGCUAGAGAACUGGAGGGGGAUCUGGAAUUCUCGGUGUAGCAGUGAAAUGCGUAGAUAUCGAGAGGAACACUAGUGGCGAAGGCGAGAUCCUGGACAGUUUCUGACACUGAUGCACGAAGGCCAGGGGAGCAAACGGG